rnacentral:tRNA from 1 species
UAGGAAGUGGUGUAGAGGAAGCACAAGGAGUUUUGAUCUCCUGAGCAUGGGUUCAACUCCCUUCUUUCUAG